GAUGAACGCUGGCGGCGUGCCUAAUACAUGCAAGUCGAGCGAACAGACGAGGAGCUUGCUCCUCUGACGUUAGCGGCGGACGGGUGAGUAACACGUGGAUAACCUACCUAUAAGACUGGGAUAACUUCGGGAAACCGGAGCCAAUACCGGAUAAUAUAUUGAACCGCAUGGUUCAAUAGUGAAAGACGGUUUUGCUGUCACUUAUAGAUGGAUCCGGGCCGGAUUAGCUAGUUGGUAAGGUAACGGCUUACCAAGGCAACGAUGCGUAGCUGACCUGAGAGGGUGAUCAGCCACACUGGAACUGAGACACGGUCCAGACUCCUACGGGAGGCAGCAGUAGGGAAUCUUCCGCAAUGGGCGAAAGCCUGACGGAGCAACGCCGCGUGAGUGAUGAAGGUCUUCGGAUCGUAAAGCUCUGUUAUUAGGGAAGAACAAAUGUGUAAGUAACUAUGCACGUCUUGACGGUACCUAAUCAGAAAGCCACGGCUAACUACGUG
rnacentral:rRNA from 1 species